UUCGUGGUGUCCACCGAGUUCCUGUCAGGUAGCGGCAUGUCACGGGGGUCGUUCUCAUGGCUGUGGACGCGGUGCAUUGGACGGCGAAAUUUUAACGAGGAUCAAUUGGAGGGCAAGUCUGGUGCCAGCAGCCGCGGUAAUUCCAGCUCCAAUAGCGUAUACUAAAGCUGCUGCGGUUAAAAAGCUCGUAGUUGGAUCUCAGUUCCAGACGAGUAGUGCAUCUACCCGAUGCGACGGCUCGGACUGAACAUCAUGCCGGUUCUUUCUUGGUGCACUUCAUUGUGUGCCUCGAGAUGGCCGGUGCUUUUACUUUGAAAAAAUUAGAGUGCUCAACGCAGGCGAGUCGCCUGAAUAAACUUGCAUGGAAUAAUAGAACAAGACCUCGUUUCUGUUCUGUUGGUUUUUGGAAUACGAGGUAAUGAUUAAGAGGGACGGACGGGGGCAUUCGUAUUGCGGCGCUAGAGGUGAAAUUCUUGGACCGUCGCAAGACGAACUACUGCGAAAGCAUUUGCCAAGAAUGUUUUCAUUGAUCAAGAACGAAAGUCAGAGGUUCGAAGGCGAUCAGAUACCGCCCUAGUUCUGACCAUAAACGAUGCCAACCAGCGAUCCGCCUGAGUUACUCAAAUGACUCGGCGGGCAGCUUCCGGGAAACCAAAGUAUUUGGGUUCCGGGGGAAGUAUGGUUGCAAAGCUGAAACUUAAAGGAAUUGACGGAAGGGCACCACCAGGAGUGGAGCCUGCGGCUUAAUUUGACUCAACACGGGAAAACUUACCCGGCCCGGACACUGGGAGGAUUGACAGAUUGAGACUCUUUCUUGAUUCGGUGGAUGGUGGUGCAUGGCCGUUCUUAGUUGGUGGAGCGAUUUGUCUGGUUAAUUCCGAUAACGAACGAGACUCUAGCCUAUUAAAUAGGUGCGGGGUUCCCAGCACCUUACAACCUUCUUAGAGGGACAAGCGGCUCCUAGCCGCACGAAACAGAGCAAUAACAGGUCUGUGAUGCCCUUAGAUGUCCGGGGCCGCACGCGCGCUACACUGAAGGAAGCAGCGUGUCUUUAUCCCUGUCUGAAAAGACUGGGUAACCCGUGGAACUUCUUUCGUGAUUGGGAUAGGGGCUUGCAAUUGUUCCCCUUGAACGAGGAAUUCCCAGUAAGCGCGAGUCAUAAGCUCGCGUUGAUUACGUCCCUGCCCUUUGUACACACCGCCCGUCGCUACUACCGAUUGAAUGAUUUAGUGAGGUCUUCGGACCGAUGUCCGGCGCGGCCUUUCGGUUGCGCCGGUCUGUUGGAAAGAUGACCAAACUUGAUCAUUUAGAGGAAGUAAAAGUCGUAACAAGGUUUCCGUAGGUGAACCUGCGGAAG
rnacentral:rRNA from 1 species